rnacentral:rRNA from 1 species
AGUGAACGCUGGCGGUAGGCCUAACACAUGCAAGUCGAACGGCAGCACAGAGGAGCUUGCUCCUUGGGUGGCGAGUGGCGGACGGGUGAGGAAUACAUCGGAAUCUACUCUGUCGUGGGGGAUAACGGAGGGAAAAUUAUGCUAAUACCGCAUACGACCUACGGGUGAAAGCAGGGGAUCUUCGGACCUUGCGCGAUUGAGUGAGGUGAUGUCGGAUUAGCUAGUUGGCGGGGUAAAGGCCCACCAAGGCGACGAUCCGUAGCUGGUCUGAGAGCAUGAUCAGCCACACUGAAACUGAGACACGGUCCAGACUCCUACGGGAGGCAGCAGUGGGGAAUAUUGGACAAUGGGCGCAAGCCUGAUCCAGCCAUACCGCGUGGGUGAAGAAGGCCUUCGGGUUGUAAAGCCCUUUUGUUGGGAAAGAAAUCCAUCUGGUUAAUACCCGGGUGGGAUGACGGUACCCAAAGAAUAAGCACCGGCUAACUUCGUGCCAGCCGCCGCCGUAA